rnacentral:rRNA from 1 species
AUGGAGUCGUGCAUGUGUCGGCUCCUAUGUGGUGCGUGCAGAGCCACUGGCUUGCGGAAUGGCUGCAGGCCUGGAGCGCGCCCUGCCUCGAGCAGCACGCAUGCAUGGAUGGCGGCCGAGACAUCAGAGGAGCUUCAGCAGAGAAACGGGGCUGCCGAGCCAAAUUUGCUGAACCAGGCUGCCAAGUUUGAGGUAAAAAAAAUUGAGAGGGAAGUAUCUAUCCUGAAUUUUCUGCACUACAUAAAUUUACCCAUAGAAUAUAUCUCUAAUAGUACCCUGUCCAAAAUGUUAGUGCUCGCCGUCGAUGCCAGAUCCUAG